AUACAGUGUGUACGGUCAGCAGAGUGAGUCUGAACACUGAAAGGAAGGAAGGUGUAAAAAUGACGAGAAAUCACUUUCAUUUUUCUGUCUUUUUAAUUCCCCUUCACACUCUAUCUGUCUGUUCCUGUCAGAGUUAGAGAAGAGAGGGAGUGAAAACAGCGCUGAAGGGGUAAUAAUGGAUGGCAGAGGAAAAGAGAGUGUAUUGGCUGAACAGAUUAUGUUGGUGAAGGAGAGAGAGGGCAGAGUGUCAGAUGGAAAGGUGAAGGGAGAGAGGGAGAGAAAGAGAGCGAGAGAGAGAGAGAGAGAGAGAGAGAGUUGGAGGAGGUAGACUGACAGACUGAGGGGUAUUUGUGGCCGGUCACAGAGAUAAGCACAUUCUGUUCUCCCUCUCAAGCGUGUGGGCAAAAACACACACACACACAUAUACACACACAUAUACACACACACAAACACACACACGCACACAGUUCAAUUGCAAUGAGCUCUUGGCACCUGACAGAAGUUCACUUGCUCAGCCCUCUGUUGUCAUGGAAACGAUCAGAUUGGUUCGCCAGCCUGCGAGCCGUCCUCUGAGUUGAGAAAGGAAGGAGGUUUGUGUGUGCUUGCUUGUGACCAUGCAUGCAUGAAUUAGUGUGUUUAUGGUGUGUGAUUGUGUGUAGUUCAAGUUUGUCUGUUUGCAUUUACGAAGGAUCCCCAUUAGCUGCUCCCAAGGCAGCAGCAACAUUAAGGCAGUUAACUUAAAAUAUUACAUGACAUUAUAUUUCAGAACACUGUUCACAUUAAGUGUGUUCUAUUGUGUUUCUUAAACAGGAAGACAUGUAACAAGUCAGUGUGUAUCUCUGGGUGUUUUUUUUUAAAGUUUAUUGUCUUAGAGUUUUGGUACAGUUUGUCAUAGUUGCUAAGCAACCUGCCAAGUAUCUUGCUCAGUGGUCAGAUCAGUGGUCAGAUCAGUGGUCAGCUCAGUGGUCAGGUCUGUGGUCAGUGGUCAGAUCAGUGGUCAGCUCAGUGGUCCUUCCACUGUAAAGCCUCUUACCUGUUUUUAAAUGUGAGAAACGUGUGUAUGCUCAGUGUUCAUCUGUUGAUAUAAAACACCAACUGACACAGCCUUUGUUUAAUGGUUCUGGGAAGAGCUUGUGAAUCUCCUCUCUUCACAGAUCAUAUGUAAUUAGCCAGUGUUGUACGCCAGAUAUCAGUCAUUAGACAGAGGGGUAAGUAAUUAGAAACUCAGUGUUUUCAGUCAGACAUAAACAUGAACGUUGACGUGGGUGGUGAUGGAAAUGAAAGGUGUUUUAGAGACUGUGGUAAUUAGAUUUUAAAUGGAUUUUAUUAAGUUAGUUUUUAUAAUCAGCUGGUAAUUACUUCACAGAACACUUGAAGGAAAUGUGGAUUUAGUUUGAAUGGAUUGUGUGUGUG
rnacentral:lncRNA from 1 species